rnacentral:lncRNA from 1 species
GAGAUUGUUAAGUCUUGUAUGUUGGCAAGUUUCAUGGAUUGAGUCGGAGUCUUGAAGGUUUCGGAGCAUAUCGUCGAAGAACGAAGAAUCCAAGACUUCGGAGAAGGCGGAGAUAACUCACAACAUGAAUCACGAUGCUCAGGUAAAGUCUUUACUUCAUGUUAUGGUGAUUCAUACUUAGUUAUAGGCAUUAGAACCAUUAUUAUCAAUAUUUAGUUGAUUAGAAAGUGCUUUGGAACUCUGCGGAACCCGAAACAGUGCAAAGUCUGAAAAUUGCACUGUGUACCAGUACAACCAUUGCCCCGUACCGGUACAGCCAUCGACUUUGGCUUCGCAAAUUUUUGUUCCGUCAUUGUGUAACCGGUGACAGCCUCUCGUGUACCGGUACACUGUGUAAAAUUGUGAAAACUUUCUAAUCCGACUCCAAUUGAUUCUAAAGUCUAUAAAUAAGCUCUUGGGGUUCUCUAACUUAUCAAGCAUCACAAAAUUACAUGUUUGACAAAUCCUAGAGGCUCGGAUUUCAUCUAAAACCUAUUUUCUUCAUAAAGCCUCUUUUAGGUCAAAUCGAGAGAUUGUAAUUUGAUAUCAAUAUGUCGAUUUGAUCUUCGCUUCACUUGGUGAUCUGUUUCCUGGUUUUCAUCGAUACUCUAAGUGAAGGAUCACCAUAAUCAUGAUGCUCUUCAUGACGGCGUCGUGGAUUCGGCGUGAUUGACGGCGGUUCGUGGAUUCGGAUCGUGAGCUUCGUGGAUUCGGAGUGGAGGCGUUUCGUGAAAUCGGAACGUGGCGCUCGUGGAUUCGAACGUGAGGGCGUGGAUAAUCCGGAGGAUUACGCGAGAUUCAUAGGAGGUAAAGAGAGGUCGAGUCCGUGGAGUCGGUAAUCACCUUGUAAUCUUUUCUCUUAGUGAAUUAUUUUUUCGCGUGUUGGUCCCAUGGGUUUUUCUCUAAGUUGGAGUUUUCCCACGUAAAUUUUGGUGUGAUUUUUAUUUUUCGCAUUCAUUUUUUAACAUAUUGAGAUUUGUGAUUUUUGGCUAUUACAUCUAUUCACCCCCCUCUAGGUGUUAGAUACAAUCUAGAUAGAUCCUUGGGCUCCUAAAAUCUUACAGAGUCCGCUUCGCUAAAUGCGUAGUGUCUUGGUGAUCAUUUUGCCCUCACCGGCCAUGCCCGACCAAGUCGAGUCGUGUGCCUUUUGCUUGUAGUCCAACUUUUCGUUAUCAAUAAAAUACUCAUUGUUUGUGCCAAUUUGCAGGAUUCCUUUACAUGCUUGCUCUCAAUUCUCGGUCGUUGCCAAUUUGCGAAGUUAAGCCUCGGGACGGUUUGGUUGGCUCGUUUGUGCAGGUGACAGAGGAGCGUCGUGCCGUCUUUUCGACAAAAAGUCAUUAGACCCGUGACAGUAGGGGAGGCUCAUUCCUAGGGUGGGAAUGUUGACUACCACGGGGUCAUUAGGCACGGCGCAAGUCGGACUACCUUGUGUAGGUCCUAUAUAUGAUUGGAACAAUGUUGAACUAAAAUGCAAAAUGGACAUUAGACUAUUUAUAAAUGUUGACAUUCUACUAGUUGCACUGUGAACAUCAUGCUACUUAUAUAUGUAUAUGCUCAUUAAUGUUAGAAUAGCAAUUAUACUUGUGGAAAUUUAUGCUAAGUAGAGGCAUAGUAGUUUAGCAAGUUUUAUUCAUGCUUAAUAUACAUGUUGUUCAUUCCAUUUAAAUGUUAGAACAUAUUACUCAUGACUCCAUAACCUAGUGGUGUAUUUCGCUCAUGUCGGUGGCUUACCCACUGGGAACUAUUGAUUAAUAGUUCUCAUGCCCUCUAUGUUGAUGUUUUUGUUUCAGAGCCAUCCACACCGAGAGAGGCUCGGGAUCGCGGAAAAGAGAUCACAUCUAGCUAGAUAGCGAGGAGUUUUCUUACUAGGUGGUCAUAUCUCUAUUUUUGUACUUGAUGUAGAGAGCGAGAGUUUUUGCACCCUAUAUAUAGAGACCACCAUCUUUUAGUAUCUUUAUCAUGUUGUUGGGACCUUAUAAUGUACUACUUAUGGUUUACAUUAGUGGAUUAACUCUUUUAUAUCUUUACUUGUCUUUACAAUCUAGUUGUUGUAUGCUCUGAUAUCUCUAGAUGCUCGUUUAUUGAUGCUUUAAUUAUCGCUUGUUAUAGACGCCUUAUAUGUUGUAGGCAUCACUACAACAGAAUUAGGUUAUAGGAACACAUGUUUGGGACAUUUUGUGUAAGUGUCCCAUUUAUGCCAAAACUUAAAAAGAAAUCUACUAAUGCCUAAAUAUAAAGCCUAAUCCAACCAGAAAUAAAAUGUUACUCUACUCAACCCACCCUACCCAGCCCAUUCGGCCCGAUUACAAAUAGAAAAAAAAAAAGAAAAAUCGAUUACCAUCUUUCUUUCUCCUCUCACUCAAUCCAUUGAAAUUCUAGACGAAUAGCCCUUCCCUCUCGUCCUCCUCCACUACCGCAGCCAACGAGGUAGAGUUCCGGUGGUUGCUAAAUGGUUAAAUAAGUGUUGGUAAAUUAGCAGCACUUUUUUUAGGUUAUAGCGGCACUCUUUAACUGUCACUAUAUACCUAGCGACCCCACAUAUAGCAACACUUUCUAAAAGUGUCGGUAAUUUAGCCAGCAGCACUUUUUUAGACCUGUACCAACAUUUAAAAGUGUCGCUAUAGACCGUUUUUGUUGUAGUGCAUAUGGCGGGUCUGGACACUCACUGGACGGGCUUCUGCUGGGUCCCGGGGCGUGACAUGCUAAGUUAGUAACUUGCAUCAAUAAUUAACUAAUACAUAGAUCAAGUAACAUGCAGCAUGGUAAAUAUACUUAAAUCCCAACAUGCACAAUAUAGACAUAUAUGUAUGUCGGUUCACACACCUAAUUAAUCUUGUGCAAUGGUAGUCCCUCAUUUGGAGUCACAUACUCUAUAAUUCACAAUUACUAAUUGAACUACCAAUUAACAUGCAUCAAUCAUUCUUAUAAAACACUCUCUAGACAUGAGAGGUGACCAAGUCACUUCGGUGCAACGCAACCCACGUCACAAAGCCUCCUAAUUGCUUGAAGACACUUGCAAUUAGGCUCCUAACUAUGAUUCGCCGCCCUUAAGCCUAAGGAACCCAAAUCUUCAUGAAUCUGUUCGUUUCCUCUGAUCGAUCGCCGAGGCCGCUACACAUCCAAAUUAAAGUUGUUGGGCGUGUUCUUCUAACCUUUAAUUAAAGUAUUAGAGGUUUAAUUUAAUUCAAAACCUCAUAGGGACAAAAAUCCUAAUUUCAACCCUAGGUUUCUAGAUUCUCAAGAGAAUAUCAAAUUUAUGUUGAAUAAUUUGAUUAAACUAAUUUAGAAUUAUAUAGAGAUCCUAAAUACAUCAAUUUUAAAGGAUUUAAUCCAAACCCUAGCUUCCAAUUCCAAAAACUCACCUCGGCUCCACGAGCUCACCAAGGCUCAACGCACGCACGAGCUCGAUUCACCGUUCUCUACGCGUUCCCAAGCUCACACUCCACCAACACCCCAAGUUUGGGAGAGAUCUAGAGAGGGGAAAAGAGGAGAUUGUGAGGGAGAGGGAGAGCUUCUCUCUCUCUCACCAUGCGUGUGUGCUCAGCUGAGGGAGAAGAGGAAAUAAGGUGGCCAAAUUCACAAGAGCCCACUGCACCUAUUGAAAAUUGCAGUUUCAACUCAGUUCAAAUUUGAUGCUUUAAGUUGGAGUCCUUCUGAAUGUCCAUUUGCGCUCAAAUUUGACAGACAGGGUCAAUUAAAAUUAAUUAGAAGAACAUGAUCUUAACUUUUUAGUUUCGAAUCAUUUUUUGUCACUGAAAACUCUGCUGACUAGAAUCUCUAGCAAAUAGCAAUCAGGUUCUGUUUUUCACUUUCCGGGUAUUGGAAUGACAUAAAAUUUUAAAUCUAACCUCAUAAAAAUAAUUUCAACAUAUUUUCAAAUUUUCAUAAUUUUCUGACACUGUGAAUUUUCAGCUGAAAAAUAAACCCCAAUUCUUCCAGUAAGGAGUGAGAAUUUGAUAGUUUAGUUAGACUCUCUGUUGACGAUGUUUUUGUGUGUAAUUUAAUUACAAAAGUACUCAUCAAGUUUCGGGAGAAAACGAGUUAGAACGGAGAUUUUGCGCGAUCUUCAGUUUUCACUUAAAGUGAAUAGUAACUCGGUUUUCCAGAGAGGCCAAUGAGUAGAGUUGGCUUCUAGCGCGUAUCGGACUCUGUUCAGAGCAAUCCAAUAGAUCGUUUUGAACGGUUCGGCUAUGCUGGAACCAAUGGCGCUGAUGGAUUUUGGGUUUGACGCACGAAUCUCGAGAAAUCUGGAAAUACAUGCAUUUUAUAUAUUUGUAUGUAGUUUUGCCUUUCGGUGAGAGGAUGGGUUUCAUCGCGAAUCCGUGACCAAACAAGGGGAAACAAAAUUUUGGGUUUGAUGUCUCUGUCGUGCUGAUCGCAUUAGUAUGAUCCGUUCGCAAAUCUGACAGACGGAUCUCUAAAUAUUACGUGUUGAUCGAGGAGGGAUCUUAGAUGGCAAAACCGUAAUUUUGCAAAAAGUGCGACAUUUUAUGUACCGUUUUGCGUGAAAUAGAUUGUGGAGGUGUAUUUGCGUGUUUUACUCACGCUGUAAGGGACUCGGUUCUAAAUAUCGAGUUUUGGGGGACUAUUGUGCAUUCUUUCACUUUAUAUAUAUUUAGCCACCUAGGGUUUCAUCAUGAAAACCCUACCCUAACCCUGAGCUGAGACCCUAGCCGCCUCCCUUGCUCCCCCUGACCUAGCCGUGCCCCUCCCAGUCGCCGCCGACCGAGCCCCGGCCGGCAGCCGUAGCCGCAGCCACCUUCUUGUGAGAUAUGGAUCCCGAGGAUCUAAAAGGUGAAAAACACCUAGAGGGGGGUGAAUAGGUGUAAACGGUAAAAAAAAUAAACUCGAUGCGAAUAUAAAGUAAAUGCGGAAAAUAAAAUCAGCACACCGAGAAUUAACAUGGGAAACUCCAAAUUGGAGAGAAAAACCCACGGGACCGAUCACACAAAGAAAUCCACUAAGAAAAUAUGAGUACAAGUGAUUUAGCAAAAAUACAAGACUCAAAAUACCGAAUCCUCGUUGUAGAUUAUCUUUGCCAGUCCACGAUCGCUUGGAAUCCUCCAACCGAUCACACUGCAAGUCCUUGCAGCCGCACACGCCUCGAUUCCACGAAACGCCCACCGAAUCCACGAUCUCCACACGAGAUCCACGCGCUAACGCUCCAUCCGAAGCUCGUAGAAAUUCAACAAUUUGUGGUGAUUUAAGAUCUUUGAAAGCACAUAUAAUAUGAGGAGAAACCCAAAUUAAAACAUCACCAAUUUGAUCCUUAACGAAAAUUUGAAUCAAAAUCAAAGAAUCAAAUUGGCGAUCUAACGCUUGAUGUUUAAAAACAUAGAUGAAAACUCCGAAUCAAGCCGUUAGGGUUUCUAAAAGGUUAUCUCGCUCAACUCCCGUCAUAUAGAGAUCCUCAUAUUAUAUUUAUAGGUUUAGAAGACUUCUAGAUAGAUUAGGAUUCCAAAAACUCAAUUUUAAAAACUGACGACGGUCUCAGGGUCCGGUCCUCCCGAGGAGACCGGUCCUUGGGAGACCGGUCCUCCAAAGUGAGGUCCGGUCUUUCGCUGCGUAGAUGUAAAAAUAUGCGUACGGGGACCGGUCCUCAAUUCAGAGACCGGUCCUUCCCUGCGCAACAAGGAAAACCACGUACGAGGACCGGUCCUCAAGAUCAGAGACCGGUCUCCCAAAGCUUCUACGCAGAGAAGCUUGAUGGGUCCGGUCCUUCUGAUCAAGGACCGGUCCCCGACCCCUGAGUUUUUUAGAAAACUUAAGUUUAGUCAACUCAAAUAUAAACCGUCUUCUAAACAUCUUUUAACAAUAAAAACUUCACCACAAAUUAUUUAUAAUCAUACCUGAGAUCCCAAGGGUCUUUGAUCACAAAACUUCAACUCUUUCUUCAAUCUUCAUCUUCUAAUUCUUCGAGACUCCGUUCAAUACUUCACGAAAUUCGCCAACUUAUAAAAUCCUUAACAAUCUCCCCCUUUGGCGAUUUCGUGACAAAAUACAAAAAGAAUUUACAAUGCUUAUCCAAAAACAAAAAUAAGAAGGUUAUUGCAAUCACCAAACAACAACCUUCUGCAUGAUCGAUCCAAUAAAAAUAAAAUUAUAUUUUUCACAUCCUAAUACAAACUCUAUGACUUAGGACUCGACAUAGAGUCUCGAAGUCUUGAAAUACCCUGCAAAACAAUCUCCACACACUUCAUCAAAAUUUGCACUAGAUUCAGUUACAAGUCAAGAGUUCAAGCAUAGUUACAUCCUAAUCAAAGUUCAAGCAUAGUUACAUGCUAAUCAAAGUUCAAGCAUAGUCAAGCAUAGUCCAAACGACAUGCAAAGCAAAAUAAGUAAAGCACAUAAAGCAAAGCAAAGUUCCAGCGACAUCAUCAUCAUUCUCCCCCUUUUUGUCAAGAAAACGCCAAAACGACCAAAAGGAGGGAACGCCAAAACGAGCUCAGUCGGAAUCAACACCAGGCGCAGGAAGAUCCGCGCUACAACACCCUAGUUUGUCAAAGAUAGCUCUCAUCAGGCGACGAAGCUUGCUCACUUGUCAAGUGAGGCGUUCCUGUUCUGCAACCAUACGAGCCUGAUCUUCUGAAAUCCGUCGAAGUUCGCCCGAAAUCCGUUCUUGCUCUAGAGAUAACCUUUGUUGUUCCCGAUAAACAGAAGAGACGGACAUUUCUUCCUCAAACACCUCUGCCGAAGGACGAGAAGGACCAGGAGCUGGAGUGGAACGCUGUUGAGACGAACGUCGUGGAGGAGAGCGCUGCGAAGUCUUGAUGUCUUUAGCCAUACGGCGACUAAUGAACCGAAGAUUUAAUGAACGUAGUCUCACUAAUCACACCCAGACUAUGUUCAUAUGACGAACAUCUCGUGUCCACAUCAAACAUCCUCAGAAUCCGCAUUAUGAUUAACGGAUAAGGCAACCUCUCUGACUGACUAGAAGUCUUGAUGUCUUUAGCCAUACGGCGCCAAACCAAAAAUGGAACAUUAAGAUUGAUCUUCCUAUCACGAACCACAUUCGGCUGACCCACCAAAUACAUAUAAAGCAUGCGAUCCCAACGCACCACCUUCGUGUUAGCCAACGGCAUUAUAUUNNNNNNNNNNNNNNNNNNNNNNNNNNNNNNNNNNNNNNNNNNNNNNNNNNNNNNNNNNNNNNNNNNNNNNNNNNNNNNNNNNNNNNNNNNNNNNNNNNNNNNNNNNNNNNNNNNNNNNNNNNNNNNNNNNNNNNNNNNNNNNNNNNNNNNNNNNNNNNNNNNNNNNNNNNNNNNNNNNNNNNNNNNNNNNNNNNNNNNNNNNNNNNNNNNNNNNNNNNNNNNNNNNNNNNNNNNNNNNNNNNNNNNNNNNNNNNNNNNNNNNNNNNNNNNNNNNNNNNNNNNNNNNNNNNNNNNNNNNNNNNNNNNNNNNNNNNNNNNNNNNNNNNNNNNNNNNNNNNNNNNNNNNNNNNNNNNNNNNNNNNNNNNNNNNNNNNNNNNNNNNNNNNNNNNNNNNNNNNNNNNNNNNNNNNNNNNNNNNNNNNNNNNNNNNNNNNNNNNNNNNNNNNNNNNNNNNNNNNNNNNNNNNNNNNNNNNNNNNNNNNNNNNNNNNNNNNNNNNNNNNNNNNNNNNNNNNNNNNNNNNNNNNNNNNNNNNNNNNNNNNNNNNNNNNNNNNNNNNNNNNNNNNNNNNNNNNNNNNNNNNNNNNNNNNNNNNNNNNNNNNNNNNNNNNNNNNNNNNNNNNNNNNNNNNNNNNNNNNNNNNNNNNNNNNNNNNNNNNNNNNNNNNNNNNNNNNNNNNNNNNNNNNNNNNNNNNNNNNNNNNNNNNNNNNNNNNNNNNNNNNNNNNNNNNNNNNNNNNNNNNNNNNNNNNNNNNNNNNNNNNNNNNNNNNNNNNNNNNNNNNNNNNNNNNNNNNNNNNNNNNNNNNNNNNNNNNNNNNNNNNNNNNNNNNNNNNNNNNNNNNNNNNNNNNNNNNNNNNNNNNNNNNNNNNNNNNNNNNNNNNNNNNNNNNNNNNNNNNNNNNNNNNNNNNNNNNNNNNNNNNNNNNNNNNNNNNNNNNNNNNNNNNNNNNNNNNNNNNNNNNNNNNNNNNNNNNNNNNNNNNNNNNNNNNNNNNNNNNNNNNNNNNNNNNNNNNNNNNNNNNNNNNNNNNNNNNNNNNNNNNNNNNNNNNNNNNNNNNNNNNNNNNNNNNNNNNNNNNNNNNNNNNNNNNNNNNNNNNNNNNNNNNNNNNNNNNNNNNNNNNNNNNNNNNNNNNNNNNNNNNNNNNNNNNNNNNNNNNNNNNNNNNNNNNNNNNNNNNNNNNNNNNNNNNNNNNNNNNNNNNNNNNNNNNNNNNNNNNNNNNNNNNNNNNNNNNNNNNNNNNNNNNNNNNNNNNNNNNNNNNNNNNNNNNNNNNNNNNNNNNNNNNNNNNNNAAAACACAAUCUCGGAAUGUAUAUGCAAAAAGAAAACCUAAAAAGAAAACUUACCAAUCAAAGCAAAGAAAAAUGGGAAAAAGCAGAGCAAACACCCUCUGGAACCCUAGACCAGCCGUGGGAAGAGUUUUAGAGAAAAUGGUAAAGUAAGAGAGAGACCGGACCAGUAAUCGUAUAUAGGAUCGGGCGGAGGGACCGGUCCUUCAAGACAGGGGACCGGUCCCCGUACCGAAAAAAAAAAAAAAAUCUUUCCCCCCUUAUUUUAAAAAAAUUCCAAUGACAUGUAAUAUAAAUUUUAUAAAUAUGGUAAACAAAGUCAAUUUCAAAAAUAUUCAAAAUGUCAAGAUUCGUUGAACAAAUAGACGAAUUAAAUUCUAAAUGAGUAUAAUACUAAAAUCCACACAUCAAUCAAGAUCUAAAAACUAAUCGUCUCGUAUUGUCUUCAUAAUUGCUAAAUAGAGGAAUAAAAAGAUCCCAUAAUCAUGAAAUUAAGACAAGGUGAUCAAAUUGAGUUAUGCACAAAAUUCGACAAGGGAGUGGCUCUUUGAGCAUCUUUUCACUAUCCACCUUAUAUCACCUAGAAGAUGUAUUGUAAGUAACUCAUGCUUUAUCAUCUCCAAAGCACCUUUUUAAACCUUUUUUUUUAAUAUAUAUAUCACCGGACAUUGUUGGCUUCUUUAUCAACAGAGAUGCUUUAAACAGAUAUGUGGUAGCUGCACACACGUACCGGACGACCGGAGUGGUAGCUCUUUCCUUCAUGUGGUGGUAGUUUUCACACUCCCAUGAGGGAUGUAACUCUUUCCACAUCUUUUGUCAUUCUAAUUUAAUUCCAGGAAAGACUCCCCCUAAAUAAGUGCAACUCUCAAGGUGACGAUAUUAUCACAAGUUCAAAAGUAGGGAAAUCUGUAUUCAUAUCAAAGCUCAUAAUCUGACAAGACAAAGACAAUGUUUAAAGUUCAAAGAAAGAGAUGUUGAAUUUAGCAAAUUAUACUAAAAUAGAAUUUGAAUGAAUCUAUCUUUUCAAAAAUAUGACACAGAGAAUAAAAAUGACAUUGACCAAGCUAACCACAUUAUAAAAUAAUGAAAAUCAUGUCUUGGAUAUCUCAAAAAUGAUCAAGUAAAAACGACAGAUAUGCAAAAGAGUUUGUGCAAGAUCUAUGGCCCAAAGACUAUAUCUAAACAGAUGGAUUCAUACCAAUAGCCUUUCACAAAUGAAGAAAACGUUUUUUAUCUAAAAGUUUUGUCAAAAUAUCAGCAAGCUGAUUUUCAGUAGAAAUAUAUUCAAGAUGCAGAAGAUUUGAUUCGACUAGUUCCCUUAAAAAAUGAUAUCUGAGUUCAAUGUGUUUUGUUCGAGAAUGUAAGACAGGGUUUUUAAAAAUAUUAAUUGCACUUGUGUUAUCACAAAGAAUAGUAAGAGUGGUGGAUGGGAUCCGAUAGUCGCUCAGUAAGCUCUUCAUCCAUAACAACUGAGUAGAGCAACUACCAGCCGAAAUAUACUCAGCCUCGACAGUGGAUAGUGCAAUACAUGUCACGCCCCGGGACCGAUACAAAUUUGGGCCGGCCUGAGCUCGUCGAACAGACGCCGAACGGACAGAGUUUUCCCUAUCCGCCCAAGGCUCAUCACAUGUACAUUUUCAAUAAGAAGUGCACUAGCGGAAACAUACAAAAACGGCUUACACGAGGGUAAGCAAUAGCCAUUAGUGAAAGAAAGGAAAACUAAACAUCUACACAAGUAAUAUGAUUCAUUUUAGAUCAUAUACAUUGCAUUCAUUUCUUACAUUUUGGAUUCUUUGCAUUUCAUUACAUCAUUCUAUCAUUUCUUUCUUACAUCACAUUUACCUCAAAAUGAGCUUUACAUUCUUUUCUUUAUAUUACUAGUCAUCAAGUACAAAAGAUGAACAUAGGGUAGCUACUAUCCAAAUGUAACCCAACUCCGGUGGCCUCUGUCUACGGCGCGAUACCUUUACCGCGGUCGCUCGCCGGCUCGCUCGAUCCCGGCUCUGUGGAAUAGUUGGGUGAGAACUACAACAAAGUUCCCAAUGGGUUCGGCCCCAACAUCACCGACUUUCCCACUAGGACUAACUCAGGCAUAAUAGAAAGGAUAAGCAGAAAUAGUAACCAAUCUAUGACAUGAUGCUAAUAUGCCUGAACAAUAAGCAGGAAAUAUGCUCAACAUGAAACUUAUACAGAUUAUGCAAGUUCUUUCAUUCUUUACACAUUACACUUUGUCUUUGUUCUUUGCUCUUUGUUCUUUGUUCUUUAUUCUUUGCUUUUUGCUCUUUAAUCUCAAGGCUAACCCGGGGGUUUCGCCACAUUAUCUUGCUUCACAUUAAGUCCAUCAUCGCAGGAACUCACCAGCUAGGACCGUCCUUCGAGUUUACUCCAACCCGUGAUGCAUAACUCCGGAGCGCAUCGCCCGAGGGGGAGCGACCGCCCUCGAGCACGGAACUCAUAGCAAGUAUGAUCGAAUCCUUAACUCAACGGAUUAUAAGUUCAAUCUCGACUUUACACUAACUCUAGUGUUCUUCACAUCACUUUAUGUUGCCACUCUAGCAAUCAUUGCUCUUUGCAUUUCUUUUACUUUUGCUAACUCUAGCAAUCACAUUCUUAUCAUUACACGUUCUUUAUGCCCCACUUUACAUUAGCUUUACUCAUUGAUAUCAUUCUUUACUUCGCAUUAGUUCUUUGCCUCAUACUAACUCUAGUGUCACUUUACAUUUUCAAAUGCCACUCGAUCUAUGUCAUCGUGCCACUCGGUUCUUUUGGCUCACUUUGGUACUCACAUUUUCUCUCAUGCAUACAUAUAGGGUUUUAACAUUCAUAAGGUUCUCGACCAUCACAUUAAGCAAGUUGUACUCACAAUCAUGCAACAUCACAUUUUUAUCAUCACUUUACCCUAAAAUGCAUGCAACAAGUAUAUAACAUAUGCUCAAUUGAAUGACACAUUAGGCAUAGAGAGAAGUUCAACGAGUUUGGAAGCAUCACCCACCUCGUAGGUCUCUUUAGGUGCUCCGACGAUUUACUUGGGAUUUUUAGACGCCUUGUUCCUCACCUGCGGCAAAACGAAGCCCACUUAGGCCAUUUUGCCCAUAUCUUUACAUCGGCUUUUCGUAAUGCUAAUCCGAGCGCACCAACGGGUCGGAAAUACCCCCAAUUGGAUUUUUGAAGGGUCAAUUUCACUUAGAAAUCCCCAUAAGCAAAAGCCCCAAUUUGGUGCCCUAGCUCCAAUACAUAUACAAAACCUAGGGUUUGAUCUCAUUGGGAAGCAAAAGUAGCUUCAAUAUACUCUAAAAAGUCCAUUUGAACCAUCUUUAAACAAAGCAAAACCCUACUUAGGGUUUCACCAUGAGAGGUGAUGAAGCUUACCUCAAGCUUCACCAUUUUCAUGGCCUUGAUCUCAAAAGAAGCAAAGGAAAAGCUUCAAAUACCCAAAUGGUUCCAUAAAACCCAUUUUAAGCUUAAUCCAAACCCUAGAUUAGGUUCUACCAUGAUUAGGGUUCAAAGCUUACCUUGUAAGCUCUUCUUUUCCAAGCUAGAGAGGAGGGAGAGGGAGUUUCUUCACUUCCUCUACUUCUUCUCCUCUUUCUUCUCCUUCUUUCCCCUCCUCUCCUUGUCUUCUUCUUCUCCUUCUUUGUCUUCUAGAGAGAGAGGAAGAGAAGAGAGUGUGAGAGGGUGAGGAAAUGAGAGAAAUGUCUCAUAUGUCCCCGUACAUAUCUCUAUGGGUUGCAAAAUUGCAGCUAAACACCUCAACUUUCACUCUUUCACACUGCCCGAACUGGGCUGUUCGCGCAGGCGGGGACCGGUCUCUCCUUCAGGGACCGGUUCCCGAAGGUUGUCCGAGCGCAGCCAGAGCUGCCGCGCGCAGUGCAAUCGGUCUCUCUUUGGGGGACCGGUCUCUCGGGGACCGGUCUCUCAGGCAGGGACCGGUUCCCGAGAGCUAAUUUCUCAGGACUUAGCCGAUUUUUCGGCUGUCUCAAUUCAUACGCGUUCGGGGACCGGUCUCUCCCACCAGGGACCGGUCCCCGAGAGCUCAAAAUCUGCAGUUUUGCAGAAUUUGAUCCCUAAGCUCUCGAAAACUUCCCGUAACUCACUUUUGAUUAUUUUAACACCUUCGGACUUUCCGAAGUGUACCAUCCUCGCACUUUGGUCAAUUUGACUAAAGUUCGAUAUUUAUUUUCCGAAUUUUCGAUAUAUUACAAUACAAUUCUAUUUCUUGCUGUUCCAAGCGACAAGACAAUGUCCAAGAUAGAAACACGCUCCACUAGUACUUUUUCGAUCAUCGGCAGAGCCAGCCCAGUCUGCAUCCGAGUAUCCAAUCAGAUCAAAAGAUGUUCCCAUAGGAUACAAGAGACCAUAAGCGGUUGUACCUUUAACGUAUCGAAUAAUCCUUUUGACUGCUUUUAGAUGAAUUUCCUUAGGAUUAGCUUGAUAGCGAGCACAAAUGCCAACACUGAAGGCAAUAUCUGGUCUACUCGCAGUCAAGUACAACAGGCUUCCAAUCAUGCUUCUGUAUAAUUUCUCAUCCACGCUAGGUUCCUCCGAAUUCAAUCCAAGUCCUUUGUUACUUGUACCCAUUGGAGUGUCAAAAUCCUUUGCGUUGUCCAAUACAAAUUUCUUAACCAAAUCUUUCGCAUAUUUGGAUUGACACAAGUGUAUUCCAUCUUUAGUUUGUUUGACUUGAAGUCCAAGAAAAUAGUUAAGCUCCCCCAUCAUUGACAUCUCAAAUUCGCUUGUCAUCAAAUUUGCAAAAUCAUUGGCAUCCUUAUCCUUAGUUGCUCAAAAGACGAUGUCGUCAACAUAAAUUUGUGCCACGAUGAAAUUAUCUUUCGAGUGUUUAACAAAAAGAGUUCUAUCCGCUCCCCCUCGGUUGUAGCCCUUUUCCAAAAGAAAUUUUGUCAAACGCUCAUACCAUGCCCGCGGAGCCUGUUUAAGUCCAUAAAGUGCCUUUUUCAGACGAAAAGCGUGAUUAGGAAAUUUUGAGUCUAUGAAACCUUUCGGUUGUUCAACAUAGACGUCCUCUUUUAGAAAACCGUUUAGAAAAACACUUUUAACAUCCAUUUGAAAAAGAGUAAUUUUAAAAUGACAGGCGAUCGCGAACAGAAUACGAAUUGAUUCAAGACGAGCAACCAGGGCGAAGGUUUCCUCAAAAUCUAUUCCCUCAACUUGUGAGUAGCCUUGAGCAACUAGUCUUGCUUUAUUUCGAACAAUGGUACCAUCCUCAUUUUUCUUCUUCUUAAAAAUCCAUUUGGUACCAAUUAUGUGUUGUUGCUCAGGACGCGGCACCAGUUCCCAGACAUCAUUACGCGUGAAUUGACCAAGUUCGUCUUGCAUAGCAUUAAUCCAGUAUUCAUCGGAAGAGCUUCAUCAACAUUCUUUGGCUCAACUAAAGAAACAUAGCAAGCAAAUUCACACUGAAGCUGUCUCCUUGUUUUCACACCAGUAAGAGGGUCUCCAAUAACAUUUGACAAUGGGUGAUCUUUCACAGGUGUAAGUUCAGAUGAGGUGAUAGGGGUUUCAGAUGAAUCAUGUGAUGCAAUAUUAUCAACAGUUUCAGCAGAAAUAUCAGGCACAGAAAUUUCAUCAAUCACAGGCAAGUUAAAUGGAGAAUCAUUAUCAUCAUCAGUCAUCAAAGCAUUUGAAGAACCAUUCACAGAAGAUCCUACUGAAGAAGCUUCAUCUACUUUUAUAUUAAUGGAUUCUAUCACCGUCUUAGUACGUAAAUUGUACGCACGAUAAGCACGACUAGAAGUAAAAUAUCCAAGAAAAAUUCCUUCAUCACUUCGGGAGUCAAAUUUUUCAAGAUUUUCACGAUCCCGAAGGAUAAAACAUUUACUCCCGAAGACACGAAAGUAUUUAAUGUUCGGUUUUCUACCAAUCCACAACUCGUACGGAGUGUUUAAAGUGCUCGGGCGUAAAUAGAUACGGUUAAUCACAUAGACGGCCGUGUUAACUGCUUCAGCCCAGAAGUAUAGUGCAACUUUCUUGCUAUGAAGCAUAACACGUGCCAUCUCUUGAACAACCCGAUUUUUACGUUCGACCACUCCAUUCUGUUGUGGUGUAUAGGGAGCAGAGAAUUCAUGUUUAAUGCCUUUUGAAACACAGAAAUCAACAAAUUUUGAAUUUAUGAAUUCUCCCCCUUGAUCACUUCGAAUGCGUACAAUUUUAUCAUUCCUUUCAUUCAUAAGACGAAGACAAAUUUCAGAAAAAAAAAUCAAAGGUAUCAGCUUUUUCACGUAAGAAAGCACUCCAGACAAAACGAGUAAAAUCAUCAACAAUAAGCAGAAUGUAUCGUUUUCCACCCAAACUUUGAAUCCUAGAAAGUCCCAUUAAGUCCAUAUGUAGUAACUCUAAUGGUUUAGAUGUCCCUAAGUGGUUCAAAUUCUUAUGUGUGGCUCUAGUUUGUUUUCUCAGUUGGCAACCCCCACACAUAGUGUUCUCCUUGAAGUCUAUCUUAGGUACACCUCGAACAACCUCGUUCUUAGUUAUCUUAGAUAGUUCCUUAAAGUUCAUGUGACCUAGACGUUCAUGCCAUAAAGUUUCAGUUUCUAAUGUCGCUAGGUUACAAUGUUCAGUUGAAGAGCUAGGAACUACAUAACAGUUAUUCUCAGAUCUUACACCUUUUAAGAAGAUGUCAUCAGUACGAGUCAUAGUGCAUUCUUUGUCAGAAAAUUUAACGGAGUACCCGUCAUCACACAACUGACUUAUGCUCACGAGAUUUGAUUUGAGCCGCUCAACAUAAAAGACAUCAUUCAACGUAGGGCCAUCUGAGAUAGUGACAGUUCAUUUUCCAACAAGUUUUGAUGACCGACCAUCUCCAAAAACAACAAGUCCACCGUAGAUUUUGUUUAAAGAAGAAAACCAAUUUUUAUCACCGGUCAUAUGACGUGAACAGCCACUAUCCAGAUACCAAGAAGUAUUGUCGUAAGCAUGAAGUGAAGUGUGAAUGACAAGGCAAGGAAAGAGUUCACCUUUGCGCACCCAAACCUUACGCGUUUUGGGUUGCGUUGUCCGACUUGAUUGAGACACGCUUUGCUUGUCGACGAUUUGUGUAGUUAUUUUCUUCGAAUCAUUCUUCUUAGGCAUCCACGUUUGUCCUGCCUUUGUCUUUGGAUCCUCCUUCUUCAGUUGUUCCUUUGGUCUCCUAUUCAUGUGUGUUGUAGCACUUUUCGGCUUUUGUUUACAAAAUCUCUUCACAUGGCCUACAACACCACAAAGAUGACAUGUUUUGUUAGCAAACGAGUUUUUGGGGGGAACAAACUUACCAUAGACCUUCGGAAUCGGUUUUGUGGAGUGUUCGUCUACUUUCUUCAUUACUUGAUCGACAUAUGUCCGUUCGUAUCCAAGUCCGAAUUUGUUGGUUUGACCGAGUCCUAACAUCUUAUCAAGUUUGCUAGACCCGGAAGAAAACUUGUUCAAAUCCGAUUUGAGUUGAAUGAUAGUCUUGAUAAAUUCCAUGUUGGAUUCUCUUGCUUCCGUGUAUUGCUUGGUAAGAAAAUUAAUGUUUUCAACCAAAGUUUCCUUCUCCUUCUCAAGUAGUGCACACUUAUCCAGUAAAGUAUUUUAUGACUCGGUCAAAGUGUCCUUUUCUUGUUCUAAACUUUUUGUCAAUGACUCUAAUCUUGUAUUAUCUUGGUCCAGAUCGUACAAUCUUCGUCUCAACUUCUUGUUGUGUUUCGCCACUUUCUUUGAUUCAAUAACAAGUUGAUGAUAUGCGGCAGCCAUAUCUUCUUCUUCCGAUUCUUCAUCCGUUGAGCUUUCCGUAGAAGAUUUUCCAUGCAAAGAAGACAUAGAAAUUGAGUCAGUAGAUGCUAAACACAUAAAAGUAGAAUCCUGCGCAAUAAGUGCAGUGGCAUUAACGUCAUCAUCACUUGAGGACGAUUCGUCUGAGGAGGACUCAUCCCAAGUAAUGGCUUGCAUCGCUUUCUUUUUCAAAGACUUUUUAUUAGGACAAUCUGAUGCAAUAUGACCAAAUCCCCUACACUUAUAGCAUUGUAUUUCACCUUCGCUACUUUUCUUUUCUUUUGUAAAAUCUUUUUGAAAAUUUUCCGAUUUUUUAAACUUUGAAGAAGAGGAGGAAGAGGAACUCCCUUUUGAUUUGUUUGGCUUGGAGGGAGUUGGCUUAGAAGAGAACUUCUUUCUAAAGUUCCGACGAAACUUCUUAGUCAAAAGAGCCAUUUGCUUCUCAAACUCUUCCAAGGUUACAUCUGAGUUCGAGUCCAAUGAAGAAGAUUCCACAUUGCCUCCUUUCGUUGAUUUUAGUGCCAUACCUGAAGCUUUAGAAGACAACUUGGAAAAAGAUGAAUUAGCAGGAAAAGUCAUUUCAUACGUUUGAAGAGCACCAACUAAUUCAUCGACUUUGAGUUUAUCCGGAUGUUUUACUGUUUCUAUGGCCGCAACCUUGGGACGAAAACGUUCGGGAAGGGUUCUCAAAAUUUUUCGAACAAUUUUUGGUUCAGAAAUUUUUUCACCCAAAUUUGCACAAGUAUUGACAAUAUCUUGAAGACGAGUGUAAUACUCGGUAAAGGUUUCAUUUUCUUCCAUACGAAUAGAAUCAAAACGACUAGUCAACAUUUGUAAUUUCUGAACCUUUACCAAGCUUGUACCCUCAUGAGUGAUUUAUAAGGUAUCCCAAAUUUCUUUGGCGGUUUCACACGCUGAUACUCGAGAAAAUUCAGUUUGAUUCAAAGCAUUGAACAAUGCAUUGAUACCCUUCCCAUUGAACGAAGAUAGUUCGUUUUCCUCUUUUGUCCACUUAUUUCUAGGUUUCGGACCGGUAACAUUCUCGACCACUUCAGUAGGAUGUUUCCACCCGAAUUUAAUGGCUUGCCAAACCCGCUCGUCGAUAGCAAUAAGAAACGCCCUCAUACGGACUUUCUAAUAAGCGUAGUUAGUGCCAUCGAAGAGAGGGGGUCGAUUAAUGUUACCGCCCUCGGCCACAGAUUACAACCUAUAUCCGCUCUGAUACCACUUGUGAGAUAUGGAUCCCGAGGAUCUAAAAGGUGAAAAACACCUAGAGGGGGGUGAAUAGGUGUAAAUGGUAAAAAAAAUAAACUCGAUGCAAAUAUAAAGUAAAUGCGGAAAAUAAAAUCAGCACACCGAGAAUUAACGUGGGAAAACUCCAAAUCGGAGAGAAAAACCCACGGGACCGAUCACACAAAGAAAUCCACUCAGAAAACAAGAGUACAAGUGAUUUAGCAAAAAUACAAGACUCAAAAUACCGAAUCCUCGUUGUAGAUUAUCUUUGCCAGUCCACAAUCGCUUGGAAUCCUCCAACCGAUCACACUGCAAGUCCUUGCAGCCGCACACGCCUUGAUUCCACGAAACGCCCACCGAAUCCACGGUCUCCACGUGAGAUCCACGCGCUAACGCUCCAUCCGAAGCUCGUAGAAAUUCAACAAUUUGUGGUGAUUUAAGAUCUUUGAAAGCACAUAUAAUAUGAGGAGAAACCCAAAUUAAAACAUCACCAAUUUGAUCCUUAACAAAAAUUUGAAUCAAAAUCAAAGAAUCAAAUUGGCGAUCUAACGCUUGAUGUUUAAAAACAUAGAUCAAAACUCCGAAUCAAGCCGUUAGGGUUUCUAAAAGGUUAUCUCGCUCAACUUCCGUCAUAUAGAGAUCCUCAUAUUAUAUUUAUAGGUUUAGAAGACUUCUAGAUAGAUUAGGAUUCCAAAAACUCAAUUUUAAAAACUGACGACGGUCUAAAGGUCCGGUCCUCCCGAGGAGACCGGUCCUUGGGAGACCGGUCCUCCAAGGUGAGGUCCGGUCUUUCGCUGCGUAGAUGUAAAAAUAUGCGUACGGGGACCGGUCCUCAAUUCAGAGACCGGUCCUUCCCUGCGCAACAAGGAAAACCACGUAUGGGGACCGGUCCUCAAGAUCAGAGACCGGUCUCCCAAACCUUCUACGCAGAGAAGCUUGAUGGGUCCGGUCCUUCUGAUCAAGGACCGGUCCCUGACCCCUGAGUUUUUUAGAAAACUUAAGUUUAGUCAACUCAAAUAUAAACCAAGUCUUCUAAACAUCUUUUAACAAUAAAAACUUCACCACAAAUUAUUUAUAAUCAUACCUGAGAUCCCAAGGGUCUUUGAUCACAAAACUUCAACUCUUUCUUCAAUCUUCAUCUUCUAAUUCUUUGAGACUCCGUUCAAUACUUCACGAAAUUCGCCAACUUAUAAAAUCCUUAACACAUCUCAUCCCUCUCCAUCUCUCUCUCUCUCUCUCUCUCUCUCUCCCCCCCCUUUUUCUUUCGAGUUGAGAGGAGGCCCAAGGCUACAAUGCCUCCUUAUCUCUCGGCCGACGUCGCCCCGCGCGCCGCCGCAGCCGCCCAAGCUGCUUGUGGCCAACUGGAGUUAGCUCAGGCCGAGGGAGCUUCAGCUCCCUCCCCUCGUGUCGCUGCCACCUUAGGCCGAUCCCGCCACCUCUGUGACCCUGCGGCCGCCCAGAACUGCUUGGGCUGAGGUGACCUCAUAUCUCCUCCCCCGUGCCGCCGCCGCCAGGAGCCACCUGUGCGGCUUCCCUCCGGCCUCCAACAGUCCACCGCCAUCGUCCCCGUGCUCCCCGCCGGCAGCCGUGGCCGCAGCUACCCUGGAACUCGAGCCCUAGCCCGUGCGGGCUCAUGUUGCUCCACCGCCGCCGCCGCCGCCGCCUUCCGCCGCCGGCAGGUGUGAGCCCCGGCCUCCCCUUGUCGACCGCACCCGUCGACCACCGACACGCCCGCCGCAGAGCCGCCGCCGACCGUACCCUGACCCCCUCUGCUCCGGUAAGCUUGUUAAGGUCUUUUUGGUUGCUCUCUUGGUUUGAGCACACUUUUCAGCGAUCCUAGGUUGUCCCGAUGCCUCCAGAGGAAAGCACGGUGAUCGUUGGUCAGUGCUGAUCACAGUGCCCACCUCACUUUGGAUCAGCGGCUUUCGAAAUUGCGUUUUCGGUGCGGUUUACCCGAGUGCGCGCUAUUCGUAGAAUUUUUGGGUCGCUCCUGCGCCUCCCACAGUGAGCCGUUUUGCUCCAGAUCAUAAGCACGGCCUCCGGCACGUCGAGACCUGUCAGUACAUGUCUCGGCGAACCUCGGAAGUCCUCGGUUUGCAUUAACGAGCCAUAUAAUCACCCGAUUUACAUAAAAUGAUAGGAUUUUAUGUAAAUAUAGGGACUUUUAUGCAAUUGUGCACCUUGUGGCUACUGUGGGCAGUGCGUAUGUGUGUGUGGUGACCUCUGGACUGAUUGUCCAAGGUCCGAUAGCUUUCGCGAAAAUCGAAUAACGAUUUAAAUGCGUUUUUCGGCGAAAUUCACCGGCAGAACGCGGUUUCGGUCCGAAUUUCUUUCAACGUUGUUUGUUUGCCCUGUGAGUUGUCACUGAGCCUUGUCGGCUAGUCACCAUCGUCAUAUCGUGGGUUCGGAGAUGAUGGGUGAGCGACGGUGGGUUCAAGUAUCGAAAUUGACACUUUCGGGAACCUGAAUCCGUAUAAUUAUCCGGCUAAUUGUUUAGUUGUGUAAUCUUGUGUUUGCUGUCAAGACGUCCAAAUCGGUGUGUUUUGUGGCAGCGGCUGACUCGUGGCACAAGUCAGUGAGUUUCGGGACACUUAGUCGGUCCUGACGGCGUCUCGGUAUGAUUUUCGGGAUUUCCGACGAGUUUCGAUGAUCGGUUUUGGGAAACCAAUUUUUGGGACUUGUGCUGCGGUUUGUGAGUCGUGUACUUUGGGUUUGUGGGUUGGAUACUAACUCGAUGGAUCUUCGUAGGUCCGGUUGACUUGUGCGCACCCAGUUUCCGACGCGAUAGUGCCAAGUGGGUGCUUCGAGCUGGUAGUUGGUAGGAUCGUUUCACCUUCCUCUGUUCUUCUAUAUCACCAUUGUAGUUUCUAUAUGUUGGUUUCUUCGUUUAUCAUUCGUUCAACUUACCUUAUUGAUUGCAUAUUGUUAAUUGUUGAUAGACAUGUAGAGCAGGCUUGCAUAUAUAUUGUAUAUCUGUGGACCUUGGGUCCAUGCGACACAUCGACUCCUUUGUCGUGUGUUUCGAUCUGGCUGAUCGUGGUUCAGCAUUGUACGCCCUUGUAUCUGGCUUCUGCCAAGGCACCGGCUUCAGCCGAUUUUUGCAUUGAGCAUAUCAGCAUGACUUAGUCACAGCAUUUGGGUGUAUUCAUGACACCAGGUCAGUUUGGCCACCAACCGGAGGUGUUCUUAUCCGGAUGGGUCGUCGAGUGGGCGAAUAAAUCAGGUCGGUGCGAGUUUGUGACAGACAGCGCUUGAGGUCUACGAACCAAUAUAGCAGGCACCAGAUUGGGUACAGUUUUGGUUAGAUUAUCUUGAGGCAUGCUCAGCAUUGUAUUCCUUACAGUAGCAGUUUUAUUACUUGCUUCUUAUCAUAUAUGUUAUAGCUACUGUAGUUCUCUUCAUAUCACAGCAUCUAUACAUUGUUUACUUAACCUCCUUUGGUUUCCAGUGAUUACGACUUGCCUUCCUGACUCUGUCGUAUCUACUAGGAAACCUUGAUUGUGGUUUCUCACCCCUCAUUUCCCCAGGUGACUCGGGCGAGGAGUUGGCUUUUGGGCGCGACAGGGGGACAUUCUAGCUAGCCUGUAGUAGCGACUGUCACCCGGAUUACUUUUAUUUCUGCAUUUAGUAAUUUACAUAAAUAAAUGGUUCAGUUAGAUGAUUAUUAUUGAUGUUUGAAUAUUUGUGAACUGUUUGAGUUGGUUUUCCUAUUAUGCAUGCAAUUGGAGCUUUUGGAUCUUCGGUUUUGGAAUUAUGAAUUUAUACUUUGUGGUUUUCUACCCCUCGAGGUAGUCGGUUUUCAAAAUAGAGUUUCCAAGUGGGAAACAGUUUUCAAAAAAAUUUUGAAUGGUUUUAUGGAUGAUUAUAUAGAUUUUAAAGACAAUGCUUCCGGGUAGAGAGCACUUUUAAAUAGGAUGCUUGUUGUACUGUGCAUCGCAUCAUCCAGCGCCUAAGAAGUGUUUAGAGGCAUGCAUCAUCUUUAAGGAUCACUAGCUGUAUGUAAAUACAUUGCAUAUAUUGGUUGUUGAUUGGUGAAAGUAGGUUGUGGUUGAGAUCCUGCUGUAUUAUUGGUACGCCGUGCAAAUACAAAGGAGACUCUGCCCGAGUGGACAGAGGAACUUUGUAUUUGUGGCGUGUCUGUACGUCACGUGGGCCAGGUUGAAUAAAAAAAACAUUUUUUCGCAACUCUAAUUUCGAAAAUUGUAUCAAAAAGGCUUUUAAAAUCGGCCCCGAGGCGUGAUACUUUCGGAAAAUUCUAAAUCUUCUGUUUUCAUUCCAAUUUCACCAUAAUCAUUUUUAAAUUACCUUUUACCUUUUCUAAGUCAAUAAAAAUAGUAUCUCAUACUAUUUUAUUUACACUUGAUUUUACUAAAAUAUCUUUCAAAAUUUGCAUUCUACAGAACUGCGUAUCGGUACUCGGGUUCACGUACUGGUACUCGGGCAUCCAGUUCCGGUACCCCGUGUCAUGCCCCGAGACCCGCCUCUUUGGUCGGAUUCGGGCACGCCAACAGACCGCCGAACGGACAGGGUUUUUCCUGUACCGCGAACAGAGCUUCCCAUGUAUGUCCAAGGCAUCGCAACAGUGCAAGUCACGAGGUUCCAACCAGGAACAAAUUCAUACAUGAUUGCAUAAGGAAAAUAUCAAAACAUAAAUACAACUAUACUAUUACAAGCAUUCGUCCCAGUUUUAGCAUUUUACAUACACAUUUACAUAUUACAUUCUUAAUUCCUUUUAGCUUUCAAAUACAAUCUAGCGUUUACAACUCAUUGCAAUUUUAUUCUUUCCUUUUGUCCCUAAGUUAAGCCGAUUCAGGGUACUACUAUCUCUGGUGUCGGUGGUAGGGCGCUAUCUACGGAGCUAUGCCCUUUCCUCGCGCCGCCGCGCCGCUCGCGUGUGAACCUGAACCCCCCAAAACCACGGAGGGUGAGAACUAUAUAAAUAUAGUUCUCACACUACUACAAAUUUAUGAUUUAGCGGCAUUUACUCCGCAGCAUUUAUUUAAAUAACGCUAAUUAAUAUAUUUAACAGCAUUACUUGAUAAGUGCCGGUAAAUUUAAUAAUUUAGCAGCAAUUUACUAUUAAUAUUGCAAAAUAAAAUAAAUUAGAAGCAUAAAUUAGUGAAUGCCACCGAUGUUUCCAGCAUUUUAUAAAAAAUGACACUAAAUGUAAUAAAGUAGAAGCACUUAUUGCUAAAUGCCGCAAUAUUUGCUCCGCAAUAUUUAUUUAAAUCAUACCAAUUAAUAUAUUUAGCAGCAUUACUUGAUAAUUACCACUAGAUUUAAUUAUUUAGCAGCAAUUUACUAUUAAUGUUGCAAAAUAGGAUAAAUUAGCAGCAUAAAUUAGUGAAUGCCGCUAAAUAUAAUAAACUAGCAGCGCUUGUUACUAAAUAUCAUUACUAAUUAAUAUACAAUUAUUAAUAUAUCCUUUUUUUAUUUAGAAUUAAAAAUUUUAAAAUUAAAGUUUAAAAAUUCGAAACAUAUAAUUUUAAAAAUUAAACUUAUAAUUUAAAAUUUAAAAGUUUAAAAUUUAUAUUUUAAAUUUUAAAAAUUUAAAUUAAUUUCAAAUUUCAAAUUUCAAAUUUAAAACUAUUAAUUUUGAAACUUAAAAUUUCAUAUUUUAAAAUUAAAAAUUUAAAUUUAGUAUCUAAAUUUAAAAUUUUAAAAUUUUAAAAUAGGAGACUUAAAACUUAAAAAAUUAAAAUAUCGCUAGCGCAAGUGGCAAAGGGCUUGAUGGUUGGUACUCGAGGUCUCAAGUUUGAAUCCUAGUUGAUUCACAUUUCCAGCAAAGUUUAUUUCAAAAAGAAAUAAACGAAGCGGGUAGCAUUUCAAAAAAAUAAAAAUUAAAAAUAAAAUUAAAUUUUUAAAAUUUCGGCAUUAUAUUUAUGUGCCACUAAUAAACAAUUUAAAAUUAGCAUUUAAUCCCUUUUAGCGGCAUGUUUCUAAUGACACUAAUUGAUUUAUAUUGGCGGCAUUUAUAAUAAAUGCUGCUAAUACUUUUAGCAACAUUGGCAUAGAUAGCAUUUGGUGUCAUAUGCUGCUAAAAGUUUUAGCGGUAUUUGUUGAUAAUUUAGCAGCAUAAAUAAAUGCCACUAAUGACUAAUUUUCUAGUACUGCCAGUAGGUACAGCCACCCAAGGGAAGAGCUCGACCCACCAGGUCCAGAGGCACUGCAACAUGUUGGUCUAACAGAUAUUCACAGAUAUUUUAUGCAAGUAUUAAAAUACAUGCUAAUGCCUAACAACAUGCUAUAUGCGCAUCAUGCAACUCAUGCAAGUAGAUCACUUGAUUUUACUCUCUAUCAUUUGUCAUUCUUUAUUGUUUGCAAUUCUUUACUAAGGGUACUCUUACCUUAGCCAUACUAUACUUAUUUGUCAUUCUUUCCUAAGGUUAUUUUUACCUUAGCCACACUAUGCCACUCGACUCAGUCUUGAGUCAAUCAUCUACGGAUAAUCCGCGCUCUGUCAGGCUCGAGGUGAAGGAACUCUCACAUACACCUCAGCCUUUAAUCCACAAACCACAUCGCCCAAUGGGUUGCGAAGAACGGUGCACACUCGUGGUCAGGGAUCUUCCCGGUGGGAGGGGAAUAUGCCACACGCACCAGUGGCCCAAGACACCCGAUAGGGAGGGGAAUAUGCCACACGCACCCUAACGAUCCAAGAUUCAUCCAUAAGCCUAUCCUCGAAGUUCUUCCGGUGGGAGAGGAAUAUGCCACACACACCCUCGGCCAAGAACUGUCGAGUUCACAAGUCCUGGGAUUCCGGAAUCCACUUUCAUAUCUCAAGGGUUGGUCUCGCCCAAUGUUGACAACCUUUCUAGGUUCAAGUCACUCCUCAACCUAAAUUUAAUAACAUUAGGUUUAAUGCCACUAUGCGCAUAGCCUAGGUUCUACAACACUAGGUCUAUUGUUCUUACUUACCUAGGUUCAUCUGACUCUAGGUUCAAUGCCACUCAUUACAUAACCUAGGUUAUUUAACUCCAGAUUUCAUUCUCAACCUAUGUUCAAUGGCACUAGGUUCAAUGCCACUCAUGAAUCACCUAUGUUCAAUAACACUAGGUUCAUAUCCAACCUAUGUUUAAUAACACUAGGUUCAUAUCCAACCUAUGUUUAAUAACACUAGGUUCAUGCCACUCGAUCUACUUGACAUCUUAGUUAUCCACAUCGAGUACUAUAGUUUUCACAUUCUUAUUUUCCAACUAUCGAGUUCUCUAAUCCACCUAGAGUUAUCGACCCAAGUCCACAUGCAUAUAUAAUCUAGCAUAUGUUCUCAAUAUGUCAACAUGCAAAUGUCAUCUAGCAUAUGCUCACAAUGUUAAUAUUGAUAUACCAUCUUGCAUAUUCUAUAUCAUUCCAACAUGCUUUUAUCAACUAGCACAUAUUUUCAUCCAAUGGCAGUCAUUUACGUAGCAUCUCAUGCAUUCAUAUAACAUCCAUUUCAUGCAUUCAUCUAGCAAUUAACUACCACUAUGUAAUAUAUGCAUCAACAAGAAAAUCAUACUCCACUUUGACAUGGAAGUGACCUAGUCACUUCAGUGAAGCACAACCCACCUUUUAAGCUUCCUACUUGCUUGUAGUCACUUGCAAUUAGGCCAACUACUUGGACUUCCAAACUCUCCUUGCCCUAUACCAGAAAUCCUUCGUUACCAUUCUUGAACCACUAAAUGAUCUCUCUACUUGAAAUCAAAUAGCCUCAUAUGAUUUUCUAACCCCCAAUUAAGUUUCCAAAGGGUUAAUAUAUUUUUAGAAACCUCCAACAAGAAACCCCUCUUUUUAACCUAGGGUUUUCCAAACUUUAUGAUAAAACCAUGAUCCACAAGCUAAUCCCUACCAUUUGUAGCUUAGAUUAGCAUAGGGUUUGCUAGAAAUCCAUCAAGAAGGUUUAAAUCCAAAAUCCUUGCUCAAACCCUAAAACCCCCAAUUCUAACCCUAGGUUUCUCAUUUCUCCAAAUACAUCCAAAAAUCCAUGGAGAACAAGCUUAGAAUACUCUAGGGAUCUACAAAACACCGUCUAUGAAGGAUUUAACCAAAAAUCCCAACACUUACCAAAAUACGAACGCCGAGUCGAAAGCACGCCGCUCCACCAAACGCCCGAGAGCUCGAUCUAUCGCUCUCCACACAUGUAAGGAAGUGAAUUCUCGAAAUUCGAGAGUUGUACUUCUUCUAGGAUCGACUAAUUGUCGAGUGAGUAUCCUUCGGGAAAGCUAAAGUUGUCCAAAACAUGAAAAGUGCAUCGAAAACGUGUCCGCGAGAGCAAACAUGCAAAAUCUGGACUUAGCAGAUUUUGCUCUCGGGGACCGGUCCCUGGAAGGGAGGACCGGUCCCCGUAGCUGAUGGUUGCAGAGGGAGGUUGAUGCAACCGGUCCCUGGCUGAGGGGACUGGUCCCCGUAUGCGACACCAGCGAGAGAAGGGCAUAAAUGGCUAAGUCCUGGAAAUUCGGCUCUCGGGAACCGGUCUCUCAGGAAGGACCGGUCUCCCAGGGACCGGCCUCUAGGGUGGGGACUGGUUCCCGUACGCGAAAGGUCCCCAGGCCGUGGGGAGGACUCUCGGGGACCGGUCUCCCCGACGAGGGACCGGUCCCUCUGGGUGCAGAAUGCCCAGUGAGGGCUGUGUACAGGGUGAAAAGUUGAGGGGCUAAAAUGGAUUUUGUUAUAAUAGAGGGGUAUGUAGACCCCCUCUCUCUCCCUCAGAGCCUCAUUCUCUCUCUCUCUCACACUCUCUCUUGCUCCCUCUCUCUCUCUAGAAAAGAAAGAACAAAAGAGAAGGAGAUGAAGGAAGAGAAGAAGAAGAAAGAGGAGAAGAAGAAGAAGAAGAAGGAGGAGAUCAAGCUAGAGAAGGCUUGGAGCAUCUUCCUCUCUUCCUCUCCUCUCCAUUAGUGUAGCUCAAGAGGUAAGCUACAAACCCUAGCUUAUAGAACUUAGGGUUUUUGGGUUUUAGCCUUUGGAGAGGAGGUCAAAUGGACCUCUUGCACCAUUAAUGGUGGCUUUGAGCUAGGAGCUAGGGUUCUAUAGUGCAAAUGGCAAGAUGUGAACCCUAGGGCACCCAAAAUGAAAUUUUUGGAAAUAGAUGAGAUUGAUCUCAUUUGAGGCCUUGUAAACCUAAUUGCUAGGUGUCCAAACGCGUUGGCGGAGUCAGAUUUAUGAUUCGUCGAGCGGGUGUAGAGCUAUUGGCAAAGUAGGGCCGACCUAGCUUCGUUUCUCCCAAAUAGGUGGGGAUCACGUGGUUUGAAGUACCGAGGAACACUUCAAGGACCUCCACAACGAUUAUCGACUACAAAAGGUGGGGGGUGUCAUCCCGAAGCAACCGGACUCUUUUCUAUGUCGUAGAAUAACAUAUAAUUUCAUCUCUUGCAUGUUGCAUUGUAGGAUUGCAUGUUUAACCUUCUCCUUAUGCUUUCUAAAUGGUAACCUAGUAUGCAUGGAAUGCUAGGUGAAUAGGAUAGGUGAGGAUUGGGUCGGAACAUUAGAUCCUAUAGUGCUAAAGAAAAGAGGUGAACUUGAUGGUUAUCUAGUGACUUAAAGAGUGGCAUCUAAAUGUCUAAAGAACAAACGAGUGGCAUUAAUGUAGUGUACUUGACACUAGAGGUUUGAGAACCUAGGGAUAGGUGAAUCCCUAUAACACACUAGACCUUUGCAAAUUGCGAGGUUCGAGUGUUUGAUCAGUGUGUCGAGCUUUUUCAGACUUUCUGGAAGGUCGUAGACAGUGUUCCGACCUAUGGCUCGCAUCCCGAGAAUUGUGGUUUUAAGCUGGUGCCAAAAGCCCAAAAAGAUUGGACCUUGGUCAGCUCUCGGGUAGCCUGCAGCAGAGCUUGUACCGGAACAAGACUGGUCUUGUACCGGUACAAGGUUGAUGGUUGUACCGGUACAGCCAUCGGGCUUGUACCGGUAGAGAGCUGCAGACCCCGCGACCCGAGCCUCGGGUUUGCAUUUUCGUGGGCCUUGUACCGGUACAAGGGCCCGUGUAUCGGUACAAGGUGGCAGAUUUUGAGCAGUUUGAUACUGCAGGGGGUUUUUCGCGAUUGUAGCCUAUCUACAUCAGCCCCCACGCCCUUGGGGACUCUCCCUGAGCUGAGUAACAGGAGAAGAAGGUAAGGGCUUCCUCUCUUCCCCCCUUUUGAUUUACUCCUUUUUGCUUGGAUUUAGGAAGCUUUUACUCUCUUUUUGCUUCUAGGCAUUUCUACCUUUGAGAGGCUUGGGGCUUGGUUUUGAGCUUGGUAGAGGAACAAUCUUAGAAGUUGUGACUUUGAGCUUGGAUUAAAGCUUCUAAGAGGUAAGCAAGUUGUUCCUCCCUUAGAUUUUGGUUUGAUGUUUUAUAGUAGAUGAAACCCUAGAUUGUGAUAUUAGGGUUUAUUUGGGUAUUUUGAAUCUAGGACUUUUGAAGCUAGAUUGAGUGGAUUAGAGGCUCCUUUUGGUUGGAUUGGAAGGCUCUAGCUUCUCUUUGGAGCUUUAGAGGAAUUUUGCACUAGAGGUGAGUUUUCCUCACCUAUGUUUCGAAUAGCUUUAAUGAUUGAGCUAGGUAUUGUUCGUUUGGCUCGUAUGACACUUGUUUUAUACCUCUAGCCCCGUUUGGUUGGGGGUUAAGGGGUGAAUAACCCUUAACCCCAAUUUAUACCCAAACACCAUGAAAAAAGGGUGGGGUUACUAACCCCACCCCCUUCCAACUUAACCCGCACGCAUCCGAGCUCUCACCUUUUUUUUCUUUAUCAAUCAUUAACCCCACUCCUCACUCCCAACUUUAACCCCCACGCAUCCCGAGCCCUCACCUUUUUUCUUAUUUAUCAAUCAUUAUCUUUUAUCCCACCUACUCCAACCAAACACAAAAAUUUUAACACCACUUUAACCUGAACUAACCCUACUCCUGGUAUAGCUACUUUUUCCUUAACCCGCGAACCAAACGAGCCUAGGGUACUAGAGAACUAGAGACACCUCGUUGGAGCGAACGAGGAGUUUCAGUUGUCAUCGAUGUGGGUUGGCUUCAUGGAAAUGGAGCGAAAUGGCCCUAUACUCUUUCUAUUGUUGUAAAAUAUUUUUAAAUUCAUUUCUAUGCUAAAUGGAAUUUAUAUGAAUUUUUAGAGCACUUUAAAAUGCAUGCCUUGUGUAUUAUGAAAUUUCACUAUAUAGUAGAGCUAUAUGAGUAGAAUGCAUGCAUACGGAAAAGUGUUUAUUUUGAAGUGAAAAUACAUCUCUUAUAAGGAUUAUGACUUGGAAUAUGUUACUUUGGAACAUGUUGCCAUACUUUGACAUAGAGAACAAAGUGUCAUCAAGGGGCACUUGAAACUAGUAAACUAUUAAACUGCCAACAUAGAGACAUAUUGGUAGGCCACUACAUAUCUGCUAUAUUCCAUGUUAGAGACAUGAUGACAUAGAGAUAGGCAUUGAGAUACUUGAUAUAUUCCAUGUUGUUAGACAUGAGACUUGGUACUUGAGACAGAUCAUUGCUUGCUUGUCAUUGUGCUCAUUUCGCACAUGCUUGUGAGGGUCGCUCCCUACAAGCUGCAUCCUCCGAGAUAGCCAUCGCGACAUAUGCUCGCCGUGCGGAUUGGGCGCCGAAGUGGAUUGCCGUGUGGGAGGCUCAUCCCUAGAGUGGGGAUGUUGACUACCACGGGGCCAUUAGGCACGGCGCAGGCCAGACAGCCUUCGGGUGGGUCUUAUAUAAUUGGGACUUGGUGACAGAACAUGCUACGUGAACUUUAUAACUGUUAAAGUGGACUUGGACUAGAAUAGUAAACAAGGAUAUCUUUACUAUUACAUUGUGGACUUUGGGAAGUUGUAUAAUCAUGCUUUACAUGUUGGGUGUUCAUGUGCAUAUAGCUAGUAGUUGCUUUCUUACUUAUGCAAAUCAUGCUAAGUAGAGAUAUCAUGAUUAUUGGGUACUCGUUCAUUUAUUUACUUACAGUGCAUUUAUCGCUUUUGUUAUAGUUAUACACUGACCCUCUUUUAUAGUUUCGGGCCUAGUGGUGCAUUUCACUGAAGUCAGUAAUUGCCCACUGGGAACUAUUAUUUAAUAGUUCUCACGCCCCUGUUUCUAUGUUUCCUUUUCAGAGCCUUCGGCACCGGCGGAGGCACGGGAUCGCGGCAAGCUAGCUCGCGGAGAGUUCUUUUGCGCUAGGUGGUUACUCCUCCAUUUUAUAUUUUGAGAGAGAGGAAGAGGUUUUGUACCAUGUAUAGAGAGACCACCUUGUACUUCACUUAGCACUUGUUAUGGAAUCCCUAUUGUACUUAUUCUAUGUUUUAUUUAGUGAAUUUUCAGCUUUAUGUCAUUUUCUUGUUAUAGAACUAGUUAUACAAUGCUCUGAUAUCACUAGAUCUCUUGUAUUAUUGUUUCAUCUAUCGAAAUUUUAGUAGACGCCUUAUAUGUUUUAGACGUAUGGCGGGUUUGGACACGUGCCGGGUAGGCUUCCGCUGAGCCCCGGGGCGUGACAAUCCCUUAGAAAAUGCCUUGUGGACAAAAACUUAGCAAAACUAAGUAUCCUCACAUGGAGAGGAUGUAGAUGAGUUCGUUCGAGAUGUUUGCCUUAGUUCGUAGGGUAUCCUCACUUGGAGAGGAUAGAUCUAGCUUACGGUCUGUUAUUUGGGGUGGUAUAGCCAUCCAUAUCCUCACAUGGAGAGGAUUGUCGUCGAGUACUCCGGAGUGUCGGGCGAUAGGGACCACAUGGAGGUCCGUAGACAGUUUCAGGUUUGGGGGUACAUGGAGCUGAAAGUUUUGGGGUGCCCAAGGAUCUAUCUAGAUUGUAUCUAUCACCUAGAGGGGGGUGAAUAGGUGAACGGCCAAAACCCACAAAUCUCGAUGCAAUAAAAAUAAAUGCGGAAAAUAAAAAGCACACCGAGAUUUACGUAGGAAAACUCCAAACUCGGAGUAAAAAACCCACGGGACCACACGCGAUAAAUAAUUCACUAAGAGAAAAGAUUACAAGGUGAUUACCGACUCCACGGACUCUACCUCUCUUAACCUCCUAUGAAUCUCGCGCAAUCCUCCGGGUUGUCCACGCCCUCACGUUCGAAUCCACGAACGCCUCCACUUCGAAUCCACGAAGCUUCAAUCACGCCGAAUCCACGACGCCGUUCAUGAAGAAUAUCAUGAAUAUGGUGAUCCUUCGCUUAGGAGUAUCGUAGAAAACCAGGGAAUAGAACUCCAAGCGAAGCGGAGAUCAAAUCGACAUAUUAAUAUCAAAUUCCAAUAUCUCGAUUUGAUCUAAAAGAGGCUUUUUCUAAAAAAUAGGUUUUAGAUGAAAUCCGAGCCUCUAGGGUUUCUCAAACAUGCAUUCUUAUGAUGCUUGAUCAGUUAGAGAACCCCUAUAGCUUAUUUAUAGACUUUAGAAUCAAAACGGAGUAGGAUUAGAAAGUUUCUUUCCAAAAUCAGCACCUUGUACCAGAACAAGGAAAGCUGUCCAGGGUACAGCAUGACGGAAGAUUUUUCUGCGAAGCUUCUGUACCCUGAACAGGCUGCAGCUUGUACCGAAACAGGGCUUGUACCGGUACAGCCAUGAUGGUUGUACCGGAACAACCAUCAAACUGUUCUGCGGCAAAAACUGAUGUCUGUACCGGAACAGAAAAUCCUUGUACCGGUACAACAAUGCAAUUUUCGCUGAAAAUNNNNNNNNNNNNNNNNNNNNNNNNNCCACCAAGAAGAAGUAGGCCUGUAGAACUGAAGCGAGGAUGAUGAUUCAAGAACAAAGGGGAAGAUUUGAACAAAGUAGGGAGAAGUAUAAGAUUUAGGCCUAAUGCAUUUUUUGAAUGAAUUGUUUGCAGGAAAUCAAGAUUCAACGACUCCUAUUGCCGUCUUAAGUCAUAGGACUUGUUUUAGGAGUUUUGAUUGUAAAUUAAGUUUCAAAAUUGCGUAUUUUGGAUUACACGCGGAGGGGUUUCGAUGUUUGGUGAUGACAUUGAACUUCGUUUUUUUUUUAAAUUUUGUAGUAAUUUUUUAUGUUAUGUGUGAUGUUUUUGUCACGCAAAUUGCCAAAGGAGGAGAUUGUUAAGUCUUUGUGUGUUGGAAAUGUUUGUAAGGCUAACGAUUCAUCUGAAGAAGUCCGGAGUGGAGGUUAUUGAAGAUCGAUAGAAUGGAUAUGAAGAUCAUGAAUAGGACGCAAAAACAUUGCAAAACAAUGAACAACUGAUGCUUAGGUAGCUGUAAAAUCUGUGUUAUUGGUGAUUCAUUUACUUAAUUAUAGAUUUUAGAAUGCAUGUUUUAAGUUGUAUAAUUGAUCUAGAAAGUUUCUAAAGCUUGUAAACUCAAAACGAAUGCUAAAGAAGCAGCUCGAAUCAGAAAGAGAAAGUGACGUAAACGACAAAACCUACUAUAAAAUCAAAAUCUAAACGAACAAGAAAAUCCGGACAUUGAUACUGAACUGAUACGAAUACGAAAAGAUCAUACAAUCAAGAGAGAUAAACGAAAGAAAACCGUUAAAAACUGUUUUUCCCCCUCUCGCAUCUACUUCCCCCUCUCGUACCUACUUGUCCGUAACUUGACUUCGUCUCCUACUACUCAAGUCACUCUGUGUCCUCGUCACCAUCAUCAUCAUCUCCAGCACCAGCUCCAGAACCCCCAGCCUCAGGAGCAUCACCAGACGGUGGAAUGAGAGGAUGUCGUGAAGAUGACCACUGAUACGAGGCAGGAGAUGGAGUAGGUUCCCAAAUAUCAUCAUGUCGACACCCCAUCUUAUCCAUCAAUCUUUUGAUACUUAAUUCAAACUUUUUGAUGCCAGACUCAACUUUCCUUCCAAUGUUGUUCACCUUCUUCUUUAAUUUUCGCAAAAAAUCCUUAACUGAUUCCAAUGUCGUCGCUCCCCCCGAACUAGAUGAAGUAUCAUAACUCCCUCGGGAUGGAGGCGGAGGAGCAGAGCUAGAAACUGCUCUCGGUAGAGGUGCUGGGCUAGAUGCUUCAGGAGGUGCCCCUUUGGUCUGAUGGAAUGACCUGAGAGUGCUAACAGACUUAGCCCAAGUCACUGAGUCAAUAGGCCCAAGGCCAACAUCAUACUUGUCACAAGAUGUAUCUACUCUAUUUGCUUGAAGAAUCCUCGUAAUCAUAACAGGGAAUGGAAGUAGAUCCCGUCGAGUGGCACCCUGAAUCACGUGUAUCAUCCUUUGCCAGAUCAGAAAUGGAAUGUUGAUGUUCAAUCCAUGAGCCUGCUCGGGAUGACCCAGUAGAUAUAGCAACACUAAUCUCUUCCAGCGGAUCCUCUUUGUGCCAAUGGUGGGUUGAACAUUAUAGCUCAUAACCAAGGAUAGCAAGUGAUACUCAGGUAAUAAAUCCUUGGAUUCAAUGUAACCAUGAGUCAUGUAAACACCUGCUUUGCAUAUAGCUCCAAGAAUGAUAUCCAUGUGAGUUGACGCUUGGAAUCCUCCUGACGUAUAGAGAAGACCUAUAGUGUCCACAUGCAUUCCUAAGAUCUCUCCAAUAUCAUAGGGGGUAACUGGAAAUCUCUUCUGUCGAACAAUAGUCUCAAAAAUAAAAAUACCUGUUUCAUCAUCUUCAACAAGUACCUUUCCAUUCAUAUAGAACUCCCGAAUGAGUUCUACACAGAAAGGAGCCUUGGCAGGGACCAGUCCAACAGGCUCAAUAGGUGCACGCUGUAGCAGUCGUCCAAAAUCAGGAACAUCCCGAAUCAGAUCAUUGAAGUUCACAAAGCGUCAGCUAUGCACGACUUCGAUGCAAACAACCUUCGCCGUGCUGGAGGGACAUCCGCAGCUUGUUUUGUACGUCCCUCACGAGUACGAGAACCCCCACCAUGAGAUGAUUCGUCAGCUAUUCCUUUGCCUUUGUCAAAUCGAGCAAUAGGUUUUUCAGUUUCUUCCGGGGAGCUCGCCUGAUAAUCCGGAUCAGACCCGGAUGCUUCUUCAGUUGUACGUGUCCUUUUAGAAGCCCCAUGACGACCUCUACCACCACCACGGCUCCGUCUCCCAGCCAUUAGCACCAAAAGCACCAGUACGAGCAAAAACGCCAUUUUCCUAUAUCAAAAGUUGCAUACAUGAACAAAAUUUUUGAAAAAUCUGUAAAAAUAGCAAAAAAAUUUCUAAAUACAUUAGAAUGCAUACAAAUGCUAUUUCUAACCAGAUCAUGCA